rnacentral:rRNA from 1 species
CACUAGGAGAAGUUCACUCUUAGCAGUGCCUGCCCAGUGCAAAAAUUGUAAACGGCCGCCCUAGCGUGAGGGUGCCAAGGUAGCGAAAUUCCUUGCCUUUUAAUUGUAGGCCUGCAUGAAUGGAUUGACGAGGGUCAAGCUGUCUCUUGCCUUGAUGACGAAAUUGGACUAAAGGUGAAGAUACCUUUAUAGAAAAGUUAGACAAGAAGACCCCGUGCAGCUUUAAAAAAGUUACUUAUUAAGAGUUGUAAGAUUUUUAGGUGGGGCGCCUAGGAAGUAAAACUUAACCUUCUUAUUUGUUAAGAAAGGCUCUCAGGCAUAGACCCGGCAAGUCCGAUCAUGGGAGAAGUUACGCCGGGGAUAACAGGCUUAUCCAUUAGUAGAGCUCGUAUUGGCUAAUGGGAUUGGCACCUCGAUGUUGAAUUAAGGAUGAUAGCUCUAAGGCGUAGAAGCUUUAGAAGUGGGUCUGUUCGACCUUUAAUACCUU